CCCGCAGAGCCCGCGUGCAGCCCGCCGGUGGGAAAUCAACCCAUCAAUACAUCAUAUUAACUCUGACUCGACUAAUACCAUCCCUCCGGUGUGGCACAAAUUGAAUUGCUGAUGGGCUGGGGAGAGAGGGGAGGAUGGAGGAGGGAGCCUUUGAUUUCUCUCCCAGCAGCACUUAGCAGUGCGGGAGCUUCGAGGCAGGCCAACAAAAGGGGCUCUGGAGAGGUGUCUGGGGAGGAGGGAGAUGUGGCGGUCACACGCAGUGGACAUGGAGGCCCUCGCAGCUCAGGCCGAGAGGAGAGAGGCAAGGCCGGACACCACGUUGGCCUGUACCAUCUGUAGCUGCCAGGAGCCUGGACUGUCUUCUUGGCCUGGCCCUGCCCAGCAGAGGACCACCAACUACACCCUGGACUUCGUUCUGGCCACCUGGGACACACACCCUGCCUCCCAGAAGUGAUGAAGACAGAAAGAGCGAACAUUUGGCCAAGGAGGCCCCUUAGGCACUGGCACCUUGAGACCAGGCACAGCCAUGGAGGCGUGUCUGUUGGAUGCCCAGAGCCACCUGCAAUGUGGCUCCUCACAGCUGGUCCUUCUCCACCAGGCCCAGCGGACAGAAGCCCUUUGCUGUUUCACUGGAACUCCUUGUGGCAACUCACGGCCGGAGGUUCCAUGGAACACACAAGACCAAUACCUUUCUAGAAGGAGAGGCUCAGAGCUGCAGGACAGGCCUCCAGGCCCCAGGUCCUCAGAGGCCCUGAGGCUGGCCUGCCUGGAUGCUGAGGCUGUUGAGAUAGAGGGUGGAGGCCAGCUCAAUCUCUGUGGGUGCAUAGGGGUGAGCCCUGGAGCUUGCUGUGAGUAUGAGGGGCCCAGGAGCAGCCCCCUGGCAAGCCUGAGGCUGGGGUGGUGAGCCGUGCCAGUGUGGGUGGGGCUGAGGAACCCAGCUAAGAGGUAGGGAUGGACGAGGAGCUGUGAGAGAAUGGGAACCACACAGGCAUCAAACACUCUGGGAUCCCCCAGGGUCAAGGCCCCCAGCCCAAAGGGUGCACUCUGCACCCUGAUCCUGGUGGCCCCCUCGACAUAUCCACCAUCCUGCCCCUAAUGAUGCAGGAGGAUGGUCUCUGGAUCAGGAGGUCUGAGGUCAAGCCGAGGUCUGAGGUCAAGCCGUGGCACCCAUCCUCAAGAGGUGCUCCCCGCAGAACGUUCCCCUACCAGCCCUGUUUGGAGGUUCCCUUCAAGCAAGUGUGUUGCAAAAGCUCUGAGAAGUCCCUUGGGCAUCUCCCCACCGAGGGGCUCACAUCCCCAGGCCCGUGGGAGGAUACAGGGGAGAUGCCCACUGCCCCCCAGUCCUAUCCCUCUGCAGCCCCCUAAUGCCGAGGGCACGGCUGAGUCUGGGGAGCCUGGCCGUCUCGCCUGGUUUGUGAGUGGAGACACAUCUGGAGCAGAUGUUUCCGAGAUGAAAUGCAGC